UAUUCUGCCCCAUGGGGAAGGAUGAGAAGCUUCGACUAAGGUUCGACUCGAGCGAAGCGAGAGAACGUUGCCGCAGGCAACGGCC
rnacentral:sRNA from 1 species